AUGCUCUUAGUGGUCAUUCUGCUGCUUGGAAUGUUCUUCACACUGAGAACCAGAACCCAGUCGGUGACCCAGCUUGAUGGCCACAUCACUGUCUCUGAAGAAGCCCCUCUGGAACUGAAGUGCAACUAUUCCUAUAGUGGAGUUCCUUCUCUCUUCUGGUAUGUCCAAUACUCUAGCCAAAGCCUCCAGCUUCUCCUCAAAGACCUAACAAAGGCCACCCAGGUUAAAGGCAUCAGAGGUUUUGAGGCUGAAUUUAAGAAGAGCGAAACCUCCUUCUACCUGAGGAAACCAUCAACCCAUGUGAGUGAUGCUGCUGAGUACUUCUGUGCUGUGGGUGACAGGAG